rnacentral:rRNA from 1 species
CGCGUAGGCGGUCUCGUAAGUCAGGUGUGAAAGCCCGGGGCUUAACCCCGGAAGUGCAUUUGAAACUACGAGACUUGAGUAUGGGAGAGGGAAGUGGAAUUCCUGGUGUAGAGGUGAAAUUCGUAGAUAUCAGGAGGAACACCGGUGGCGAAGGCGACUUCCUGGACCAAUACUGACGCUGAGGCGCGAAGGCGUGGGGAGCAAACA